CCUACGGGCGGCUGCAGUAGGGAAUAUUGGACAAUGGGCGAAAGCCUGAUCCAGCCAUGCCGCGUGAGUGAUGAAGGCCUUAGGGUUGUAAAGCUCUUUUACUAGGGAAGAUAAUGACGGUACCUAGAGAAUAAGCCCCGGCUAACUUCGUGCCAGCAGCCGCGGUAAUACGAAGGGGGCUAGCGUUGUUCGGAAUUACUGGGCGUAAAGCGCGCGCAGGCGGUGAUGUAAGUCAGGGGUGAAAUCCCAGAGCUCAACUCUGGAAUCGCCUUUGA
rnacentral:rRNA from 1 species